rnacentral:rRNA from 1 species
CCUACGGGCGGCAGCAGUGGGGCAUCUUGGUCAAUGGACGCAAGUCUGACCCAGCAACGCCGCGUGAAGGAAGAAGGCUUUCUGGUUGUAAACUUCUUUUAAUGGGGAAGAGCAGAAGACGGUACCCCUUGAAUAAGCCACGGCUAACUACGUGCCAUCAGCCGCCGUAAUACGUAGGUGGCAGGCGUUGUCCGGAGUUACUGGGUGUAAAGGGCGUGCAGCCGGAGAGACAAGUCAGAUGUGAAAUCCACGGGCUCAAGCCGUGAACUGCAUUUGAAACUGUUUCCCUUGAGUGUCGGAGAGGUAAUCGGAAUGCGUGGUGUAGCGGUGAAAUGCGUAGAUAUCAGGAAGAACACCAGUGGCGAAGGCGGAUUACCGGACGAUAACUGACGGUGAGGCGCGAAAGCGUGGGGAGCAAACAGGAUUAGAUACCCGUGUAGUC